AGGCCCCGCCCCGCAGGCCCCUGCGGCCUCCCUUCCGGGAAAGGGUCCCGGACGACCCCGCCCCUGCUCCCGGCGCCCAGGCGGGGCUCGGAGCUCCUGCAGGCCUUCUCUGGGCCAGACUCAGUCUUUGAGUCGCCUUGUGCAUAAAAUGGGAUGAACUGUGAGGCCUAAGUGCGAGUAUGUGACUGGUACCUUACCCGGGCCUGGUACACAGUAGGGGCCUCAGGGUGGGAGAAGCAGGUCCUAGGUUUUCCCAGCCCCAUGAAGGGGCAGCAGGAAGAGCAGAAGGAGAGCCCAGGGUCCCUUCUGGGGCUGACCAAGGAGAUCACCAUGGGCUUGACCUUCAGGGCACCAUAGUUCCUGCUAGAAUCUAGGCAGGGUGAACCGGACGAGCUGUAUCGUCGCUGAGAGAAUCAUGCAGCGUUUGGGCAAGAAGAGAGGUUGGGAAUCCUCCUUGUGGUACAUGUCGGUGACCCUGAAGCCCAGAAAGGGAAAGGGUUUUGUUGUCAGACACGCAGCAAGGCUGCAGAGGCUGGACUCCUACUGAGGUCUUCUUGACUCCCAGCCCAGGGAGUGAGAAGAAAAAGCCUCCCAAGGGGCUGGGAUAUGAGAGAAAAGCCCCCUCCUGGGGUGAGGCACUGGGGCUUUCUGCCUUGAAGAACCCUGGAACACGGGCCUGGGACUGCAGCAGGUGCAGGGGAGGCUCCUGAUUGUCCCUUCUUUCUGUCCACAUCAUGAUUCCCAGGCCUCUGCUUCACUCCCUCAUUGCUGAUUUCUUCUUCUCUUCCCAAUACAGUUGUAAGAUGCAUAAGGCAUUUAUUGAACUCUUGACCUCAGAUGAUCUGCCUGCCUCGGCCUCCCAGAGUGCUGGGAUUACAGGCCGGGUGAGCCACCGCACCCGGCCGCUUAAGGCAUUUAUUAAAGAACAUUUGGAGUUUCUUUUUUCUUUAUUGUGUAAAAUAUACAUAACAAAAUUUUACCAUUUUAACCAUUUUUAAGGAUACAAUUCAGUGGCAAAAGUACAUUCACAUCGUCGUGCAGCCAUCACCACCAUCCAUGCAACAGGACUUUUUCAUCUUCCCUAAAAGAAUGGAAUUUCUUAUUUUUAACUGUAAAGCUGAAUUGAAUAUUUUACAUGAUUUUUGGAAAAAAUUCUUCCCAAAUUAACUGCGAGGUUAACUGCUUGUGGCCUGUAUUUUUUUUUUUUUUUAAAGAAAGGGUCUUAUUCUGUUGUUCAGGCUGGAGUGCAGCAUUGCAGUCUCUACCUCCCUGGGAUCAUGUGAUCCUCCCAUCUCAGCCUCUCAAGUACCUGCUACUACAGGUGCACGCCACCAUACCCAGCCUGUACUUCGUUUCUGAGGAUCAAGACCUCACAGACCGUGUGUGUGUGUGUGUAUUUGUGUGUGUGUGAGUCCUAUUUGGGCCCCGCCUUUCAGCCCUGUCUUGCAGCCCAAACUCCAGCCACAGCUGUGGCCCCGUGCAGCUCAGAGGAAUCAGGUUGGCUCAGGGGCUUUUCCUGCUUUAAGGCAGAGGGUGAGAAGGCUGUAGCUGGGCCCGGCUAACAUCUCACCUGCUCCUGGGUCAAGAGGUGAUAUAGUUGGAGGUCAGACCAGGUUGAGCCAUUUCCUGGGCCAGGAGUAUCUUAUAGCAUGGCACAGAACACCAGGAGGCCUCACCUUCUUCCUGCUCAGAAAAGCCCACUCCUUGUCUCUGGCCCUGUGCCAGGCACUCAUCUGUCCUUUAUUUCAUGCCUGGCCCUCUAGGCAAUGUUGGAGUCCAAGAGGGUAGGGGAUGGAAGUGGCUGAGUCAGGAUUUGAACCCAGGGCAUGGUGUUUCUCAACAGGGUUGGCACCGGGAUUCUUGUUGAGAUGAUUUGUCACUGGGUAGGACUGUCCUAUGCAUUUUAGGUGUUUGCUAUCCCUGGCCCUGUCCCCUGAAUGCCCAGGUGUCCUGCAAUCAUUGUGCUAACCAGAAGCAUCCCAUGUAUUCCUAGUGGUCUCCUAGGGACCAGGAGGAAAGAGACCUGAAAGGGGUACUUUGAGGCUGUACUGCCUUUCUUGGCAGGAGGCCUGAGGCCCCCCAGUCCUUGAGUCUCAGCUGUGAAGCAGGGUGCUCCCCAGUGUCUCGGCUGGGACCUUGAACAAAUCAUUGAACCCUCUACCGCCUCUGUGCUCUCCCCGGGCACUUUGAGGACUCAGCCGACUCUACAUUUUUAAGCUUGCAGUUGAAACGUUUGCAGCCAUCGGGAUACAAGUUGUUAUAGGGACCAGCUGUGAUGACAGAAGUGGGAACACUUUGCAGGACUGUGGCUGUUGCUCAGCAGCCUUGGAGUCAGGAGGAGAGAUGAAAAUCAGAAUUGAGGGUGCUUCUGGGUGAGGGACACACCCUAUACUCUUCGCAUACUCUGCACUGGAUCCUCACGGAACCACAAUCUGAGUGGUAAGUAGUGCCCUCUCGUUUCACAGCUGAGGUGGCAGUUUGCAUUUUUUCAGAGGGCUGCAACAAGAUCUACGAUUCCGCAUUUUCUCUUUGAAAUAUGAUGUUGACACUUUCCCGUGGAGAGGUGGGGUCUAACUCUCCUCCCUCCACUCUUUCAGAAAGUGACACCACAUGACUUCUGAGACUUGGCCCUAAAAGGUGACACAGCUUCCAACUGGCUGACCUGGGACAGUCACUUUUGGAAUCCAGCCACCAUGUGGGAGGCAGCCUGGGUCACGUGGAGAGGCCACAAAUAAGUAUUUGCCAUCUGAGGUCCCUGCUAUAGCCAUAAGCAACCAUGUGAGAGUCGGAGUGAGAAGCACCCACACUGAGCCCAUUAACCACAGACUGCACAAGAGAAAUCAAAAUGAUUUUCUUUCUUUUUUUUUAAAGAGAGGAAUUUCUCUAUGUUGCUCAGGCUGAUCUUUAACUUCUGGG
rnacentral:lncRNA from 1 species